AGUCAGGACGAACUUACACUCACUCGUACACUCGUCUAUAUAGUAAAGUUACCCAGCAUGUACAACAGCUGGGUAUCUCUACUGUCGAGACUUUUCACCUGUUCAGCAGAGCAUCCAAGACCAUGUCAUAGUGGUCCAGUAGUUGUGACAGGCAGGAGUGACCUGCUCUAAACCCAUGUUGCCCUGGAUUGUGCAACUGAUGGGUAUCUAAGUGGCUGGUGAUGUGAUUUUUACAAUGUGAGAUGUUAACAUUAUCG